UCAGUCCAAGCAUACAUAGAAAAACGUUGUCUUAUGUUCCUUGGCAAAUUAUGUAGAGUCAAUUCUUACUUGACUCAUGUUAUGAAAGAGAAGCUAAAAGUACAAAAUCCCCUAUCUACCAUAUGCUACUAUUAACAUAUAAAUACGACCUGACAGAUUAUGUAAAUACAUACAUUGUGUCUGCCAGCUUUCCUAAUAAAGCACAAUGGAAUGUCCAUGUUACGAAAACAAUUCAUGAUGCUGAAAAUAUCCAUAUAUGUAAAGAGUUAACGUCAAGGGAAAAUCAACAUAGAUACUAUUCAGUGCGAGACCAGAAUAUACAUAGAUUAUGGCAAAUGUCGAUCCUACGACCUGAUCUAUUUCACUGUAUUGCAAACUUGGUGCAAAUUAGUACUCUGCGUAUCCAAUCAAAAGAGUGUAUAUGUGGCACAUUUGCCUACGAUAUUGUCAAACAUGUUUUUAUGCACUGCGAACUGACAAGCCGUCAGAGAGAUCUUCUUAUCGAAUCAAUUAUUGACAUAGUAGAUGUAAAUACGUUUUCUAGCCUUUGGAACAAUGAUGAAGAAUUGAUUCUAUGUUUCUUACUCGGAGGACUUCCAACGGAAUAUUGUCUAUGCCUUGAUGAUAAUGUAUGGCUUGAAUGUAUGACCAAUGUAUGUACAACUGUUAACAACUGGAAACAUUUCUUUGUAAACUGUUUGUAACCAUCUGUAUUCCCCUGUUUCUGAUCUGCAUGUAAAUAUAUCAUAUCACAUUGUAUCUUCAUUCACUGGAGGAAAUAAAGAAUAUCUAUCUA